rnacentral:snRNA from 1 species
CUGCUUACUUUGGCAGCAUAUAUACUAAAAUUGGCACAGUACAGAGAAGAUUAACAUGGCUCCUGCACAAGAAUGAAACACAAAAAUUAAAUUCUCGUAUCUGAU